GAUCCUGGGCUCAGGACGAACGCUGGCGGCGCGCCUAACACAUGCAAGUCGAACGGAGCUUAAAGAGCUUGCUUUUUAAGCUUAGUGGCGAACGGGUGAGUAACGCGUGAGUAACCUGCCCUGGAGUGGGGGACAACAGUUGGAAACGACUGCUAAUACCGCAUAAGCCCACGGCCCGGCAUCGGGCUGCGGGAAAAGGAUUUAUUCGCUUCAGGAUGGACUCGCGUCCAAUUAGCUAGUUGGUGAGGUAACGGCCC
rnacentral:rRNA from 1 species